UACGGAGGGUGCGAGCGUUAUCCGGAUUCACUGGGUUUAAAGGGUGCGUAGGUGGGAAUGUAAGUCAGUGGUGAAAUCUCUGAGCUUAGCUCAGAAACUGCCAUUGAUACUAUGUUUCUUGAAUUUUCUGGAGGUCAGCGGAAUAUGUCAUGUAGCGGUGAAAUGCUUAGAUAUGACAUAGAACACCAAUUGCGAAGGCAGCUGGCUACAGGGAUAUUGACACUGAGGCACGAAAGCGUGGGGAUCAAACAGG
rnacentral:rRNA from 1 species